rnacentral:rRNA from 1 species
GACGAACGCUGGCGGCGUGCCUAAUACAUGCAAGUUGAGCGCUGAAGGUUGGUACUUGUACCAACUGGAUGAGCAGCGAACGGGUGAGUAACGCGUGGGGAAUCUGCCUUUGAGCGGGGGACAACAUUUGGAAACGAAUGCUAAUACCGCAUAAAAACUUUAAACACAAGUUUUAAGUUUGAAAGAUGCAAUUGCAUCACUCAAAGAUGAUCCCGCGUUGUAUUAGCUAGUUGGUGAGGUAAAGGCUCACCAAGGCGAUGAUACAUAGCCGACCUGAGAGGGUGAUCGGCCACAUUGGGACUGAGACACGGCCCAAACUCCUACGGGAGGCAGCAGUAGGGAAUCUUCGGCAAUGGACGAAAGUCUGACCGAGCGACGCCGCGUGAGUGAAGAAGGUUUUCGGAUCGUAAAACUCGGUUGGUAGAGAAGAACGUUGGUGAGAGUGGAAAGCUCAUCAAGUGACGGUAACUACCCAGAAAGGGACGGCUAACUACGUG